rnacentral:rRNA from 1 species
UGCCAGCAGCCGCGGUAAUACCGAGGCUGCGAGCGUUCAUCGGAAUUACUGGGCGUAAAGCGCAUGAAGGUGGUUUGUUAAGUCUGAUGUGAAAGCCCGGGGCUCAACCUCGGAAUAGCAUUUGAAACUGGCAGACUAGAGUACUGUAGAGGGGGGUAGAAUUUCAGGUGUAGCGGUGAAAUGCGUAGAGAUCUGAAGGAAUACCGGUGGCGAAGGCGGCCCCCUGGACAGAUACUGACACUCAGAUGCGAAAGCGUGGGGAGCAAACAGGAUUAGAUA